GCAAGGUGAGAGCGUGGGGGGGGGGAUGUACGUGGGUGGGGAGGUGUUAUCGGAAGUAUUGGGCGUAAAGGGGGCGUAGGCGGGGUUUUAAGUGAGAGUGGAAAGCCCACGGCUCAACCGAGGAGGGUCAUUGGGAACUGGAGAACUAGAGUGCAGAAGAGGAGAGUGGAAUUCCAUGUGUAGCGGUGAAAUGCGCAGAGAUAUGGAGGAACACCAGUGGCGAAGGCGACUUUCUGGUCUGCAACUGACGCUGAUGUGCGAAAGCGUGGGGAUCAAACAGGAUUAGAUACCCGAGUAGUC
rnacentral:rRNA from 1 species